rnacentral:lncRNA from 1 species
CCAUGUCCAACUGAUAAUGACGUGGCGACAAGCUAAUUCGAUAGAUUUCAUUGUGCCUGUGUCCGAUCGCUGACACGUGAGUGUAUGCCAGGUAGGAUUCCACUUGAAAGUGGGCCCACAAGUCUGCUGCCACGUCAGAUCAAAUCCUCACGGCGCUUUUCUUUUGUGUUCUUUUUUGAAGUUUUCUGUUUCGUGUGGAUUUC